rnacentral:rRNA from 1 species
GACGAACGCUGGCGGCGUGCUUGACACAUGCAAGUCGAACGGAAAGGCCUGCUUUCCCUUGUGGAUUGCGGGUACUCGAGUGGCGAACGGGUGAGUAACACGUGAGUGAUCUGCCCCCAACUUGGGUAUAAGCCUGGGAAACUGGGUCUAAUUCCCGAUAGGACUGCAGGGUGGUGCCUGUGGUGGAACACGAUUUUCUAGUGGUUGGGGAUGAGCUCGCGGCCUAUCAGCUUGUUGGUGGGGUAAUGGCCUACCAAGGCGGCGACGGGUAGCCGGCCUGAGAGGGUGGACGGCCACAUUGGGACUGAGAUACGGCCCAGACUCCUACGGGAGGCAGCAGUGGGGAAUAUUGCACAAUGGGCGGAAGCCUGAUGCAGCGACGCCGCGUGGGGGAUGACGGCCUUCGGGUUGUAAACUCCUUUCGACCGCGAGGAAGCCACCUGGUUGGAAGGGUGGUGACGGUAGUGGUAGAAGAAGCACCGGCUAACUACGUG